rnacentral:lncRNA from 1 species
AAUGGCUGUCUCAGUACUUCGCCUGACAGUUGUCCUGGGACUGCUUGUCUUAUUCCUGACCUGCUAUGCAGACGACAAACCAGACAAGCCAGACGACAAGCCAGACGACUCGGGCAAAGACCCAAAGCCAGACUUCCCCAAAUUCCUAAGCCUCCUGGGCACAGAGAUCAUUGAGAAUGCAGUCGAGUUCAUCCUCCGCUCCAUGUCCAGGAGCACAGGAUUUAUGGAAUUUGAUGAUAAUGAAGGAAAACAUUCAUCAAAGUGACAUCCUCAGGACACACCCAUGUGGCUCCUGGACAAUCCAAGAGCAGCCAAAUCCUGCUUUUCCAGUUUGGCUCCACAAGUCCUCCAGGACAGAGCCCUCAAAGCAACUCCCAACGAGUUCUCAGGAUUCAGGCUCUGGCUUCAACCAAACAGAACUCAUUUUGAACACCCUGACUGCAUUUUUGCUUUUAGAAAGUUAGAAUAAAUAUGGCGCUUUGGGAUCACAUAGUUGAUGGAGAGGA